ensembl:lncRNA
AUCUUGUUGGAUAUCCCUGCUUACCCAAGGCUUUUCAAAGCAUCUGUAGUCCAAUGAAAGGGAAAAGGGAUGGAGGUCACUCUUUCAUCACUUUGCUAGGAGGAUCCAGAGCUGCACUGAUCACUCAUGACUCAACCUUGAGAUAUGGAAUAAGAAGAAGAUAAUAGGAAAGUGGCAGCCUUUCAUCCUCCUCCAUUAAGAUCAUGAUUCAAGAAAAUGUUAACUAUACUUCAAAAUGCAAUACGGAGCAGAGGACUUAUUCAUGGUGUACUGCUGUACAUUUAGGCAUGUAUCAAAGCGAAGCUAUGUCUUUUUCUCAGGUUGCCUUACUUAAGCCUCUUCUGUCUUGUUACCAUUAAUAGCAAAGGUAAAAUACAGAGUUUAGUAAACAUAGUUCAUAACAACAAAUACAGAUAUCUCAACAAAAAUCCAUGUGAACUUUCAUUAGGAAUGAACAGAAACGAGUUUUCCAAAUUUCACAUCACUAGAUGAACUUCUACAGUCACAGUGCAAAUUUAAACUAACUUUCUACUGGUAAAUAGACAUUUCAUGGACAUUAUCAACUACAAAUUAUAUAUGGAAAAGUAUGCUUACUAUUACUUUUUUUUUUUUGCUAGAAAUAUAAGUCUCCGAGGUUGUGUUUUAUUCUUUGCUUUUAUAGUUAGUUUGAUUUGAAAUAUGACCAGAGUAAGACUUCAUAAACAACAUGGUAGUUGUUUGAAUUAUAAUUCAGGUAUUGCGCUGUGACGGUUAAGCCUAGUAGGCAGCUCAAUAUUGCACAAAUGUUCUCUUGCUUCCACCUGCAGUUAGAUGAGGAAUAAAAUUGGAAACAAUACAGGACUCAUAAAUUGAAAUAAAAACUAUUUACUAUGACAGAAAAGGAAGAAAAAAACCAAAAAUAUAAUUAAAACAACACGUCUCUACAGUACAAUUACUUUCCAUCAGCUGAUGAGUAAACAGUACAACUGUUGGCUAAUCAAUGCCCCCACUAAUAAUACAAAAUCUCAUCUGCUAACUCCUGUGACUUUAUGGUCUGUAUGAUGUUGCAUGAUAUGGAAUAACACCUUCCUAAUUCAGGCCACCUGUCCUGGUUCUGCCCCUAUGCCUGCUACCAUGCCAUAAAGUCAUUGGCUUUUCCCUCCUGAUUGGUUUGGUCCUGCCUGUGCUCCUGUUCCUCAACAGCAGCCAAAACAUCAGUGUGCUAUUAACACUGUCUCAGCUGAGGUCAGGACAUGAGCACCUGUAAGUUAUUUGGGAUUGUUUGUUUUCAGACUAUCCUAAAAUGUUGUUUUGAGAGCAUUUUUAUGAAACUCCAGAAUUUAGAAAUAAACUAGUGAAACUAUUUCUACAAAAAAGCAAAAGUUUUAAUUAUGUUUUGUGUCCUUUUAAUGUACUAAUGUAAUUGUUUCUACUUUGAAAUUUCAUUACAUAUUUUAACCGAUUAUCUGUACUAGGAUAUCUAAAUACCCCAAAAUAAAUAAUCUCAAAUUCUGAUUUUUCAUGAGCAUUGCAUAAGCAACAUAGGACAAUGGCUAGGGCCAGCUAUCUAGGCAACUUGAGGAAUGUAUUAAUUGUAUACAAUACCUUCUCUUUCUCUGUUUCUGAGUAUGAAUUUCAGGAAAUAAGCUAAAGAACAGGAAAAGAUUAUAGAUAAGUGUAGAAUGCGAAGAGCAUGCUCAAAAUAAAGUAGUUAUAAGAGCUUUUCAGAAUAAAACCCUGGAAGAUCUUCCUUGAAUUAAAAUCUUUAACCCAGAAAUAAGCUUAAAUAAUGGCUAACCUGACUGUGUAGUUCCCUUCAGUCACCACUGUUUUAUAUACGUGCACAUUAGAGAAUAGCUUUUCUGCUAGUGAUGAUAAAAUAUCUAUCUGCUGGCCCAUUCUUAUGCAUGCUUAUGAAAGCUAGACAUUUUUUCAGUCUCAUUUAGGACAGCUGAGUUUAAGAUGUGCAGUACAUUUAGGAAGGGAGAAGUGACAGGAGAGGUUUAUUGAAAUUCGAUAACACAUAUUUCUUCCCUUCAAUCCAGAAUAAGGCAAAAAUGAAAGACAAUGAACUUAUUAUCAUAGGAAAAUUCCCCACAUUGUUUUUCAAUACUAGAAAAUACACAGCAUGGUAAAGGAAGAAAAUUAUUUUCUCCAUGUGUAUUUUUCUUAAUUGCAAUUUCUUAUUCUGAUUGCCAGCCUUAAUUUUCAUAGAAAUUUUUGACUGAAAUACUGUACUGCAGACAUCUAAUGCAGCUGAAAUACUGUACUGCAGACAUCUAAUCAUGUUUCCUU